rnacentral:rRNA from 1 species
AGAGUUUGAUCCUGGCUCAGAGUGAACGCUGGCGGCGUGGAUUAGGCAUGCAAGUCGAGCGAUCCAGCACUAAUUUUUUGUUGGUAGUAAUACUGAUGGAAAAUUAGUGCUGGAUAGCGGCAGACUGGUGAGUAACGCGUGAGUAAUUUACCUCUAAGCCGUGGAUAGCCUUGCGAAAGCAAGGGUAAAACACGAUGUGUUUACGAAGGCAAAAGCCUUUGUAUGUAAAAGUGGCUCGUAAGAGCUAUUGCUUAGAGAUGAGCUCGCGCACUAUCAGCUAGUUGGUAGGGUAAUGGCCUACCAAGGCUUUUGACGGUUAGCUGGCCUGAGAGGGUGGUCAGCCACACGGGGACUGAGACACUGCCCCGACUCCUACGGGAGGCUGCAGUCGAGGAUCUUUAGCAAUGGGGGAAACCCUGACUAUGCGACGCCGCGUGAGGGAUGAAGUAUUUCGGUACGUAAACCUCUUUCGAUGGGGAAGAAACCUUUAGUUAACUGCUAAAGCUGACGGUACCCAGAGAAGAAGCCACGGCUAACUCCGUGCCAGCAGCCGCGGUAAUACGGGGGUGGCGAGCGUUACUCGGAUUUAUUGGGUGUAAAGGGCAGGUAGGCGUUCCACCAAGUUAGGAGUGAAAUCCUUUGGCUCAACCAAAGAACUGCUUUUAAAACUGGUGGAAUUGAGGCUAGAAGAGGAGAGUGGAAUUCCCGGUGUAAGGGUGAAAUCUGUAGAUAUCGGGAGGAACGCCAGUGGCGAAAGCGGCUCUCUGGUCUAGCCCUGACGCUGAACUGCGAAAGCUAGGGGAGCAAACAGGAUUAGAUACCCUGGUAGUCC